rnacentral:rRNA from 1 species
UACGGAGGGAGCUAGCGUUGUUCGGAAUUACUGGGCGUAAAGGGCGCGUAGGCGGCCGAUCAAGUCAGGCGUGAAAUUCCCGGGCUCAACCUGGGGGCUGCGCUUGAGACUGGUUGGCUAGAGGCCGAGAGAGGGUGGUGGAAUUCCCAGUGUAGAGGUGAAAUUCGUAGAUAUUGGGAAGAACACCGGUGGCGAAGGCGGCCACCUGGCUCGGUACUGACGCUGAGGCGCGACAGCGUGGGGAGCAAACAGG